UCUGGUGAUUAUGGCUUGAAGGUAACACCCGUUCCCAUGCCGAACACGAAGGUUAAGCUUCAAAGCGCUGAUGGUACUGCAGGGGGAAGCCCUGUGGAAGAGUAGGUCGUUGCCAGAU
rnacentral:rRNA from 1 species